GGGGCUGAUUCUGGAUUCGACGGGAUUUGCGAAACCCAAGGUGCAUGCCGAGGGGCGGUUGGCCUCGUAAAAAGCCGCAAAAAAUAGUCGCAAACGACGAAAACUACGCUUUAGCAGCUUAAUAACCUGCUUAGAGCCCUCUCUCCCUAGCCUCCGCUCUUAGGACGGGGAUCAAGAGAGGUCAAACCCAAAAGAGAUCGCGUGGGAGCCCUGCCUGGGGUUGAAGCGUUAAAACUUAAUCAGGCUAGUUUGUUAGUGGCGUGUCCGUCCGCAGCUGGCAAGCGAAUGUAAAGACUGACUAAGCAUGUAGUACCGAGGAUGUAGGAAUUUCGGACGCGGGUUCAACUCCCGCCAGCUCCACCA
rnacentral:tmRNA from 1 species